AUGUCACUGAUCACAGCCACUUUCAUGGCCCUUGCCUUGUGCUUCGCCCCUGCACCUGCAGUGGGUGCAGCCGCGACGGUCUCGGCGCGGCGUCCGCUGCGGGGCAAUGACACGCUGGUCUCCGCACAGGGCAAGUUCGAGCUCGGCCUCUUCAGCCCUGCUGGCAGCUCCGGCGACAGGUUCUACCUCGGGAUCUGGUACAUGAACAUCCCCGUUCAGACCGUCGCCUGGGUCGGCAACCGCGUGACUCCCCUGUCCAGCGUCGCCACCGCCGAGCUCCGGGUGUCCGCUGACGACGGCAACCUCGAGCUGGUUGGUCUCACCGCCGCCUCGUCCUCGCCCGUCGUCGUGUGGUCUUCAAACCUGUCGUCUUCGUCUCUGUCAUCGUCGCCGGGCUCGAACACCGCGGAGAUCCGCGACGACGGCAACCUUGUCCUUGUCGACGGAGGCAAUUCCUCCAACGUGCUGUGGCAGAGCUUCGACCACCCGACGGACACGCACAUGUCGGGAGCGUGGCUGGGCGAGAACAAGCUCACCGGCGAGUACCAAGCGUUGACGUCGUGGCGGAACGCCCAGGACCCUGCGCCGGGGAUGUUCACCGACACGGUGAACUCCAACGGCACCAGCGAGUUCGUCUUCAUGUGGAACCGGUCCAGUACGUAUUAUCGGACCGGCGUUUGGACGGGGAGCUUCUUCAAGAACAUACCGGAGACGGCGAGGGGGAACGUCCUGUUCAACCAGACGUACAUCGAGACGCCGGCGUACCGGCGCCUCACCAAUAUCCUCUAUAACAACGAGACCAUCACGCGCUUGGUGCUUGAUCUCACCGGACAGGCGAGGCAGUACGUCUGGGUCGAGAGCUGGCAACUGUUCUGGACAGCGCCCAUCGUGCAGUGCGAUGUGUACGCGCUCUGUGGUGCAUUCGGCGUUUGCGACCAGAGGAGCGAGCUGCCUUGCCGGUGCCCGCCCGGGUUUGCUCCGGCGUCGGAGGCGGACUGGAAGCUCAGCGACUGGAGCGAUGGCUGCCGUCGGAGCUCGCCGCUCACGUGCUCACGCAACGGGUCGACCACCGACGGGUUCCUAGAGCUGCCGGACGUGAAGCUCCCCGAUGACUCGCUCGCCGUGGGCGCGGCCCAGAGCAAAGCAGAGUGUGAGUCUGCUUGUCAGAAGAGCUGCUCUUGCCAGGCCUACGCUUUCUCCAACGGGGGUUGCGCUGUAUGGCACGGAGACCUCCGCAACGUUCAGCAGCUCUACGCGGACUCCGGCGUCUCCGGGUCAGACCUGUAUCUCCGGCUCUCGGCAACAGGAUUGCGAGACCUCCACAGCGUAGACCGGAAGAAAGGGGAGAAUCAUUGGCUUGUUCUUGGCAUGACAAUGGUCGGUGUUCUGGCAUUGGGAGCAUCGUUAAUACUGGCCUGGAGGAUUCUUGGUGCCCGGAGGAGGCGACUGGCCAGCAUGGCCAACGAGAACUCUUUGACGGUGUACAGCUACGGCGACCUCCGUGCCGCCACCAAGAACUUUUCGGAGCGACUCGGCGGCGGCGGCUUCGGCUCGGUGUACCGCGGUGUCCUCAAGCAGCAAGUCCAAGUUGCAGUGAAGAAGCUGGAAACUCUUGGGCGGCAGGGCGACAAGCAAUUCCGGACUGAGGUGAGCACGCUGGGGCUCAUCCAGCACGUGAAUCUCGUCCGGCUCCUCGGCUUCUGCUCGUUGGGCGACGAGAAAAUGCUCGUGUACGAAUACAUGCCCCGGGGCUCCCUCGACCGCUACCUCUUCGGCGGUGGCGCGAGCCUGAGCUGGCGGGAACGGUACAGCAUCAUGAUCGGCGUGGCGAGAGGGCUAGCCUACCUGCACCAUGGCUGUCGCGAGUGCAUCGUACACUGCGACAUCAAGCCGGAGAACAUCCUGCUGGACGAGGACAUGUCGCCGAGGAUCGCCGACUUCGGGAUGGCGAAGCUGGUAGGGAGGGACUUCAGCCGCGCGCUGACGACGAUGCGGGGCACCAUCGGGUACCUCGCGCCGGAGUGGAUCUCCGGGCAGCCCAUCAGCGCCAUGGUGGACGUGUAUAGCUUUGGGAUGGUGCUCUUCGAGCUCAUCUCGGGACGGCGCAACUCCGAGGAGUACAGCGAGGUGGAGGCGACAGGGACCAUGGAGCGUGGGUCGUCGACCUUCUUCCCAGUGUGGGCCGCGGGGAAGGUCGUGGAAGGGGAAGUGAGCGUCGUGGCUGACCGGCGGCUGUACGGCGACGUGAGGCUGGAGGAGUUGGAGCGGGCGUGCAGGGUGGCGUGUUGGUGCAUCCAGGGCGAGGAGGUGCAGCGCCCGACCAUGGCGCAGGUCGUGCAGGUGCUGGAGGGCGCCGUCCAGGUGCACGCGUCGCCGGUGCCGCGGGCGCUGCAGCACCUCGUCACGCUCACGUAA
rnacentral:rRNA from 1 species